rnacentral:tRNA from 1 species
GGGGGAAUGGUCUUGUGGUCAAAGCAUUAGACUGGGGUUCAGAAGAUGUGGGUUGAAAUCCUGCUUCUGCCA